AUUGAACGCUGGCGGCAUGCCUUACACAUGCAGGUCGAACGGUAACGGGCCUUCGGGUGCCGACGAGUGGCGAACGGGUGAGUAAUGUAUCGGAACGUACCUUUCAGUGGGGGAUAACGUAGCGAAAGUUACGCUAAUACCGCAUAUUCUGUGAGCAGGAAAGCAGGGGAUCGCAAGACCUUGCGCUGAUGGAGCGGCCGAUAUCAGAUUAGCUAGUUGGUGAGGUAAAGGCUCACCAAGGCGACGAUCUGUAGCGGGUCUGAGAGGAUGAUCCGCCACACUGGAACUGAGACACGGUCCAGACUCCUACGGGAGGCAGCAGUGGGGAAUUUUGGACAAUGGGGGCAACCCUGAUCCAGCCAUGCCGCGUGAGUGAAGAAGGCCUUCGGGUUGUAAAGCUCUUUCGGCCGGGAAGAAAUCGUAUCAGCUAAUACCUGGUGCGGAUGACGGUACCGGCAUAAGAAGCACCGGCUAACUACGUGCCAGCCGCCGCCGUAAAAC
rnacentral:rRNA from 1 species